AUACGUAGGUUGCGAGCGUUGUCCGGAAUUACUGGGCGUAAAGAGCUCGUAGGUGGUUUGUCGCGUCGUCUGUGAAAUUCCGGGGCUUAACUCCGGGCGUGCAGGCGAUACGGGCAUAACUUGAGUACUGUAGGGGAGACUGGAAUUCCUGGUGUAGCGGUGAAAUGCGCAGAUAUCAGGAGGAACACCGGUGGCGAAGGCGGGUCUCUGGGCAGUAACUGACGCGGAGGAGCGAAAGCAUGGGUAGCGAACAGGAUUAGAUACCCUGGUAUUCCAUGCCGUAAACGGUGGGCGCUAGGUGUAGGGGUCUUCCACGACUUCUGUGCCGUAGCUAACGCAUUAAGCGCCCCGCCUGGGGAGUACGGCCGCAAGGCUAAAACUCAAAGGAAUUGACGGGG
rnacentral:rRNA from 1 species